rnacentral:rRNA from 1 species
GACGAACGCUGGCGGCGUGCUUAACACAUGCAAGUCGAACGGAAAGGCCCUGCUUUUGUGGGGUGCUCGAGUGGCGAACGGGUGAGUAACACGUGAGUAACCUGCCCUUGACUUUGGGAUAACUUCAGGAAACUGGGCCUAAUACCGGAUAGGCGCUCCUGCUGCAUGGUGGGGGUUGGAAAGUUUCGGCGGUUGGGGAUGGACUCGCGGCUUAUCAGCUUGUUGGUGGGGUAGUGGCAUACCAAGGCUUUGACGGGUAGCCGGCCUGAGAGGGUGACCGGCCACAUUGGGACUGAGAUACGGCCCAGACUCCUACGGGAGGCAGCAGUGGGGAAUAUUGCACAAUGGGCGGAAGCCUGAUGCAGCAACGCCGCGUGCGGGAUGACGGCCUUCGGGUUGUAAACCGCUUUCGCCUGUGACGAAGCGUGAGUGACGGUAAUGGGUAAAGAAGCACCGGCUAACUACGUG